rnacentral:rRNA from 1 species
UAGGGAAUCUUCCGCAAUGGGCGAAAGCCUGACGGAGCAACGCCGCGUGAGUGAUGAAGGUCUUCGGAUCGUAAAACUCUGUUAUUAGGGAAGAACAAAUGUGUAAGUAACUAUGCACGUCUUGACGGUACCUAAUCAGAAAGCCACGGCUAACUACGUGCCAGCAGCCGCGGUAAUACGUAGGUGGCAAGCGUUAUCCGGAAUUAUUGGGCGUAAAGCGCGCGUAGGCGGUUUUUUAAGUCUGAUGUGAAAGCCCACGGCUCAACCGUGGAGAGUCAUUGGAAACUGGAGAACUUGAGUGCAGAAGAGGAAAGUGGAAUUCCAUGUGUAGCGGUGAAAUGCGCAGAGAUAUGGAGGAACACCAGUGGCGAAGGCGACUUUCUGGUCUGUAACUGACGCUGAUGUGCGAAAGCGUGGGGAUCAAACAGG